rnacentral:rRNA from 1 species
UACGUAGGGCGCAAGCGUUGUCCGGAAUUAUUGGGCGAAAGAGCUCGUAGGCGGCUUGUCACGUCGGAUGUGAAAGCCCGGGGCUUAACCCCGGGUCUGCAUUCGAUACGGGCAGGCUAGAGUUCGGUAGGGGAGAGUCGGAAUUCCUGGUGUAGCGGUGAAAUGCGCAGAUAUCAGGAGGAACACCGGUGGCGAAGGCGGAUCUCUGGGCCGAUACUGACGCUGAGGAGCGAAAGCGUGGGGAGCGAACAGG